GCUCUGUCAUCUUGAUUGAGGGCUGAAAAAAAAAACCUUGUUCGAAGUCAUUUCUGUUCUGUAAUAAUAAUUAUAAUUAUAAUAAUAAUCAUUGUAAAACACCUCCUAGUCGUCCCUUUUUUAUAAUUCCUUACUUUUUUUUAGCUUUGUUUUUUACAAGCUGAAAAAAAGAACUUGUUUGGUAGUGUGCUUCUGUUAUGACUUUCGCUUGUUUGCGAUAAAGCACAAGAGACAGUGACAGUCGCCCAGUAGCCCCCCUCACCCAUCCCAUCAGCCCGGUCCCAGCCACUGCAGUCUGUAGAAAAAAGACCCAACCCACUUAUCUCCUCCCCCUCACCUUUCAUUGGACGCCUCCUCUGCCAAUCACAACCCAGGGGCGGGCUUGAGAGUGAGGGAGCGCUGAUGUCAGAGUCACAUGGAUUCUGGUGUGGUCAUGCGAGUGCAGCUGAGCGGCAGAGCUAUGCUGGCCAGCUGCUGCUGAAACAGCAGUGGACUGCUUGAGCUAGCACUCGCGAUACCGCUCGCCUAUGGACCGCCAAGCUUAAUGAUGUAUUUUGUGAUUUCAGCUAUGAAAGUUUCGAGGGACUGGAACGGUGAUGAUAGCUGCAUUAAUUCGUCUCAUAUGUCGACUGAAGGACACAACACGCUUGUCCACAGAGAGCCUUCUGAAUCACUAUCACAGCCUCUCAGACCAGCACUCGUCUUAGAGUGUCACUCUAUGAAUACCAUCACUCUGUUACCAGUUACAAAAUGUGGGCGGCUGUGAAUUAUAGCGUCUUGUCUUCACAAAGAGAGAAAUCUCUUUCCAGACAGAGAAUGACUGCAUUAUGCAGGCUUAAAAAAUAUCUUAUGCUUUUUCACAAUUCUACGAUAUAUUUGGCUACAAUCAGGGCUUGAAUUUGAAUUGCAGGUAUUGUGUAUAAUUUUACUCAUUCCAGCAGGUUCCGUGCUUAUCAUUUGAGAAAUUCCUGCAAACACAUAAAGCCAGCUCAAAUAGCUCACAAAUACAAAUUAAGUUCAUUUUUAUGGUUUAUUGUGUGUAAAUGAUCAAAUACACAAAACUAUGUAAAAAUACCCGUCUUGUUGUUUAUUCACAUAAACACAGCUGGUUAUAUCUUAAAGGGAUACUUCACUCCAAAAUUAAAAUUUUGUCAUUAAUCACUUACCCCCAUGUCGUUCCAAACCCGUAAAAACUUUGUUGGUCUUUGGAACACAAUUUAAGAUAUUUUAGAUAAAACCCGGGAGGCCUGUGACUGUCCCAUAGACUGCCAAGUAAAUAACAGUGUCAAGGUCCAGAAAAGGCAUGAAAGUCAUUGUCAGAAUACUCCAUCUGCCAUCAGACGUGCAAUCUGGGUUAUAUGAAGUGACAGGAACACUUUUUGUAAGCGAAGAAAACAAAAAUAACUUUAUUAAACAAUUCCUUUGUCAACAGUCUCCUCUGUGUCUCUCCAUAUCACUGUAUGCUGCGUAUGCUCUUCUGUAUCAGCCUCGCCACAAGGAUGUUAAGGAUGCUAAAUACACGUAGAAACAGCGCAUCCUUGUGGCGUGGAUUUUUACCUUUAUUUUAUUGUAUGUAUUUGUGCUAUUGCUUGUAAUUUCUUCAUUCUUUUUGUUUGUUUUUAAGUCAAAUUCAAUUCAGAGUUUCAAAUCAAGUUUCCAUGUACUUCUUUUGUGCCCCAACUCCCCCUCAAAUAAAAAAAAUCCCCAUGUUUUGUUUUGCCUAAAAAAAAAAAAAAAACAAUAAAAGUGGCACAGUUGACCCCAGUCUCCCCUGUAUUACAGCAAAAAAAAAAAAAAAACUCUCUGUGUGAGAUAAUCAAGCUGUAAACUUGAUUUUCCACUUAAAAAAAAGUUAUGAAACAUACAAACAGAUAGACCGCU
ensembl:lncRNA